CCCAGACUCCUACGGGAGGCAGCAGUGGGGGAUAUUGCACAAUGGGGGGAACCCUGAUGCAGCGACGCCGCGUGAAGGAAGAAGUAUCUCGGUAUGUAAACUUCUAUCAGCAGGGAAGAAAAUGACGGUACCUGACUAAGAAGCCCCGGCUAACUACGUGCCAGCAGCCGCGGUAAUACGUAGGGGGCAAGCGUUAUCCGGAUUUACUGGGUGUAAAGGGAGCGUAGACGGUAUGGCAAGUCUGAAGUGAAAGCCCAGGGCUUAACCCUGGGACUGCUUUGGAAACUGUUAGACUAGAGUGCUGGAGAGGUAAGUGGAAUUCCUAGUGUAGCGGUGAAAUGCGUAGAUAUUAGGAGGAACACCAGUGGCGAAGGCGGCUUACUGGACAGUAACUGACGUUGAGGCUCGAAAGCGUGGGGAGCAAACAGGAUUAGAUACCCGAGUA
rnacentral:rRNA from 1 species